rnacentral:tRNA from 1 species
AAUUAUAUAUUCAAUUAUGAUUUUAAAUUGCAAAUUUAAAGGUAACUAGAAGUUUAUAAUUU